rnacentral:tRNA from 1 species
CGCUCUGAAUGGACCGGUGGCGGGCCGGUGGCGGUCGUGUCGCCACCGACGUGUGCCCCCGGACGGGGGUCGACCUCCCGUCGGGGUGA